rnacentral:lncRNA from 1 species
AGCUAGAGUAUGAUGGAUUUUCUUCCAGUUUUGAGCUGGGCCAGGUGGCUCACGCCUGCAGUCUCAGCUAUUAAGGAGGCUGAGGCAGGAGGACUGCUUGAGCCCAGGAGUUCCAGACCCGUCUGAGCAAUACGGCACUGUCUUCAGCUCCUACAUGGGAUGAGGACUUCAGAGCGCAGAAGUCGACAGGCUCCCAUGAUUGUGUCAAGGCAAGAGUCAAGACCCACUGGAGGGCAGGGACCAUGUCUGCAUCUGUCUUUUUCACUGCUGCAUCCUCACGGCUCAGGACACUCCCUGGUACAAAGCAGAUGCUUAAUAAAUACUCAUUGGAUGGACAAAUGAAUGGAUGGACAGAUGAAUGAAUGAAUGAAUGAAUACACAAAUGAAUCAGAUCAGAGAUCAGAGAGGAAAAAACUGCUUACGUUUUUAACACGUAGAUGUGUUGCUUUUUGUGAUCUUUUCUACUUCUCUUUAGUGAGUAGCAAUAAAAUCAGUAAGGAGAAGAGGGUCUGUGUGUUGGUUUUCUGGAGGAGGAAGAUGGGAAGAUUUCCCUCUGCCCUGUGAUCAGGCUCUGAAUGGGGAGAGUUGUCCCAGGACACAGAGCAAGUGGUGAUAGCAUGUGAUGGAGGGAGGAAAGGAACACCUGCAGCAUAGGGAGGAAAGGAACAUAGAGCUGGCUGGAGACUGAGAAACCACUACUUGUUCUAUGUCCUGAGAGAGAGGGGGGUUGAGCAGGAGAAAGGGCUGCUGGGGUUUUCCACCUGCAGGCACCACGGCUGAAAGGCCUCCUGCCCAGGUC